rnacentral:rRNA from 1 species
CCUACGGGAGGCAGCAGUGAGGAAUAUUGGUCAAUGGCCGAGAGGCUGAACCAGCCAAGUCGCGUGAGGGAAGACGGCCCUACGGGUUGUAAACCUCUUUUGUCGGGGAGCAAAGCGAACCACGUGUGGUUCAUUGAGAGUACCCGAAGAAAAAGCAUCGGCUAACUCCGUGCCAGCAGCCGCGGUAAUACGGAGGAUGCGAGCGUUAUCCGGAUUUAUUGGGUUUAAAGGGUGCGCAGGCGGAGUUUCAAGUCAGCGGUCAAAUUGCGGGGCUCAACCCCGUACUGCCGUUGAAACUGUAUGACUUGAGUGCGCGAGAGGUAGGCGGAAUAAGUGGUGUAGCGGUGAAAUGCUUAGAUAUAACGCAGAACUCCGAUAGCGAAGGCAGCAUACCGGCGCGCAACUGACGCUCAUGCACGAGAGCGUGGGUAGCGAACAGGAUUAGAUACCCGUGUAGUC